UACGUAGGGUGCAAGCGUUGUCCGGAAUUAUUGGGCGUAAAGAGCUCGUAGGCGGUUUGUUGCGUCGGCUGUGAAAACCUACAGCUUAACUGUGGGCCUGCGAGUCGAUACGGGCAGACUUGAGUUCGGCAGGGGAGACUGGAAUUCCUGGUGUAGCGGUGAAAUGCGCAGAUAUCAGGAGGAACACCGGUGGCGAAGGCGGGUCUCUGGGCCGAUACUGACGCUGAGGAGCGAAAGCGUGGGGAGCGAACAGG
rnacentral:rRNA from 1 species